UACAGAGGUCUCAAGCGUUGUUCGGAUUCAUUGGGCGUAAAGGGCGCGUAGGUGGCGUGGUAAGUCGGGUGUGAAAUUUCGGAGCUUAACUCCGAAACUGCAUUCGAUACUGCUGUGCUUGAGGACUGGAGAGGAGACUGGAAUUUACGGUGUAGCAGUGAAAUGCGUAGAGAUCGUAAGGAAGACCAGUGGCGAAGGCGGGUCUCUGGACAGUUCCUGACACUGAGGCACGAAGGCCAGGGGAGCAAACGGG
rnacentral:rRNA from 1 species